GUGAAUAAUAAGUUGAAAAACAACAUCAAAACAAGAAAUACAAGAAGCUCGUUGUUCGAUGUCGUGAAGGUCCUUACAGUUCUUUAUUGCUGUGAAAAUAUAUUUGAAUAAUAAUGUUUGAAGCUGAAUAAUUGUAAUAAAUUCAAGACAAGCAAACAAUGGCAGCAAAAAGGCAAUCAAAAUAUAGUUUUGAUUUUAACACUUUCACUUCAAGUGCUUCUGCAAAUGUUAAGUCCACAACGGACAGUUCUUUUCUAUCUGCUGGAAUCGCAUCUGGAUCUUUAACGAGACCAUUCAGCAACCCCAGAUCAAGUUCAUCAAGCAGACUUGCACAUACACCUGGGACCAAUUUGAAAACACCUCUUGUGACAAGCACCUCUACCUCACAUAGGACUCCAGGCUCCAGUCGCACACCACACUACAGCUCUACCCCUGGCCCAAUACAGUCAUCUGCUAUUGUGGCAAUCGUUGAAGGCCGAGGUCUUGCAAGAGGAGAAAUUGGAAUGGCUAGUAUCGAUCUGAAGAGGCCACAACUAAUUUUGUCACAGUUCUCUGACAGCCAAACAUAUGUAAAGGUUCUCACCAAAUUGCAGAUACUAGAACCACUGGAAAUAAUCAUGCCUAACACUGCAUGUGAAAAUGGGAAUACAACUAAGUUAUUCAAGUUCUUGGGAGACCAGUUUGUCCAUUCAAAUCUGGCAACUGUCCAAAGAAAAUAUUUUAAUGAAACAAAAGGGCUGGAAUACAUAAAGCAGCUGUGUGUCCCAGAAUAUAAUACAGUGGAAAUGGAAGUUGCAUCCAAGUAUUAUUGCCUGGCUACAGCAGCUGCGCUUCUAAAGUAUGUUGAGUUCAUCCAGAAUAUUGUUUAUGCUCCUUUGUCUUUGAAAGUUGUCUUCAAAGGCAGUGAACAAACCUCGAUGAUCGACGUGACUACUGCUAAGAAUCUCGAGCUAAUACAGAACGUGAGGGACGCCAAGAGUGAGCACAGUCUGUUUGGUGUUUUGAACUACACAAGGACUGCUGGCGGUACUCGGCUGCUACGCUCAAAUAUACUACAGCCUCCAUACGACAAGGAGACCAUCAAUAUGCGACUUGACUGCAUCGCAGAGCUGACCGAAAAAGAGGAGUUGUUCUACAACAUCCAAACAGUGAUUGGGCGCUUUCUGGACGUUGAUCACCUUACGUCUAUGUGCGUACAAAUCCCGAAACACGAGACUGUCAAGACAGCGGAAUCUAAGAUAAAUACAGUCAUCUACCUGAAGCACACCUUGGAGCUGAUAGAGCCAUUACAGUCUGCUCUCAAAGACACCGAUACACCGCUCUUCAAAGCAUAUUUUGAGUCCUUAAAGGACCCCCGAUUUACAGCCAUCAUGGAAAAGAUCCAAUCUGUAAUCCACGACGAUACGAGAUACCAAAAGGGCGCACUCAACAUGAGAACACAGAAGUGCUUCGCUGUCAAGCCACAUAUCAACGGGUUGCUUGACGUUGCGAGAAGAACCUACACUGAAACUGUUGACGACAUCACAGACCUGAUUAAGCAGCUAGCUGAGAAGUACGAGCUCCCGCUAAAAGUCGGCUUCAACAACACGCGCGGGUUUUUCAUACAGAUGCAACUCAGUAAAGAACAGGACGUGGAUACAAGCAGUCUACCGGGCGAGCUAAUCAAGGUUUCUAAGGUCAAGAACAAUCUUACCUUCUCUACUGGCGAUUUGAUAAAACUGAAUGACAGAAUAAGAGAGUCUUUAAAUGAGAUCUACCUGAUGGCAAACGUCGUUGUAUCAGAGCUAUUGAGCGACAUUCGAGACCAGAUUGGCUGCCUCUACAAACUCGCAGAACUUGUUAGCAUGCUGGACAUGCUGGUAUCGUUUGCACAUAUCUGCACUCUCUCGGACUAUGUUCGUCCAGAGUUCACGGACACACUGGCCAUCAAGCAAGGACGACAUCCUAUUCUUGACAAGAUACUUCACGAAACACCAGUACCGAAUAACAUGUAUGCUGCUGAGGGCACGAACUUCCUGAUAAUCACCGGGCCAAACAUGAGCGGGAAGUCUACAUAUUUGAAGCAGAUUGCUUUACUUCAAGUCAUGGCGCAGAUCGGAUGUUAUGUUCCUGCGGAAUACGCGUCCUUUAGACUCGCAGAUCAGAUCUUCUCGCGCAUCGGCAGCGACGAUGACAUUGAGACGAAUUCGUCCACAUUCAUGCUUGAGAUGAAGGAAAUAAACUACAUUAUCCAGAACGCUUCUGACAAGUCGCUCAUCAUAGUUGAUGAGCUAGGGAGAGGAACAAGCAGUGAAGAGGGAGUCGGUAUUUGUUAUGCUGUCUGUGAACACCUCCUUGGUAUCAAGGCAUUCACAUUUUUUGCCACUCACUUCCUGGAGCUAACAACGAUGGACGAGCUUUAUCCUAAUGUGGAAAACCUCCAUUUUGAAAUACAGAGAGUAUAUAGCAACGAGGCCGGACAGGACAAGAUUGUCUACUCCCACGUUCUCUCUAAAGGGCGUAUGCAAGAACGACACUAUGGACUUCAGUUAGCUGAAAUCUCCACGCUGCCACAGUCCAUAAUACGGGAAGCGAAAGCCGUCUCACAGCAAAUUUCCAAAACAGAGCAGUCUUCCAAGAUAUUAUCUGCAGAGGCAAAGCGAUCCAAGGCCGAGUUCCGACUAGCGACCAAACUCAUCCAAGCUGCAAGGAACUCGUGUCUGGACGAUAAUGGACUGCGGGCCUACCUGAUCGGUCUGAAGGCGCAGUUCGAACGAGAUACGAGCAACAUAGAAGAAUGAUCAUGUUUACAACUUUAACGCUGUAUUGUCAGAUGUCUUUGGCAGUCCACACAAUUCAACUCAGAGAAAAUAUUCGUUAAUUAUCGUUUGACACUGUCCCCCAUCAGCGUCUCCUUAAAGCUCAAUAUUACGGGAUCAGGGGGAAACUACUCACUUGGCUUCAUUGAACUCUGGGCGGAGAAAUGGCAAAUGGCUUUUGCGCCAAAAAAAGUGCUACAUCAUGUCAAUCACUCUAAAGCGUCAUCCAUCAGUGUACUCCUUAUGCGGUUCCGUCCUCGAGAGCGUCACGUGCCAAAAAUACCUAGGUGUUUACAUCACAUCAAGCCUUCGUUGGGACAUGCAAGCUGAGGAAGUUAAAAAGAAGGCGAAUCGAGUCUUAGGAGUGCUACAGAGGAACCUUUCAUCGUGUUCAGUCCGAAUCAAGGAGCGAGCCUACAUGUCCCUCGUCCGCCCCAUCCUCGAGUACGGUUCGGUGGCAUGGUCUCCACAUACCAAGAGGGAUAUUAGCACGUUGCUGUCCAGCGUAGAGCCGCACGCUUUGCCACAGGGGAUUAACAAAGAACAAGUAGCGUUAACCGAAUAAUUAAUGUGUUAGCCUGGCAGUCACUCCAACAUCGAAGAAUAGCGACCACGCACUUUUUUAUAAUAUAAACUCCGGCCUCGUCAAAAUUUAUUUUCCGCCUGAUGUUUUACCUAAGCCUGACGUCUACUUCACAAGAACCAGUGCCUGUAAUAGCUACCAAUUUUCACUCCUCCCAGCUAAAAUUAAUGCUUUCCAGUUCUCCUUCUACUCACGCUAUCCCCGUCUGGAAUGCUUUACCGCAGGCAGUUUUUCCCUGUCUACCAUCUGCAGCCAACUUUGUGGCGGCCUUACCUAGUGAGCUAAUCCGAUGAUGGGCUUUCAUCGUGUUUUUCGUUUGUUUGCUAUUACAUGUCACGUUAAGUUAUGCGCAUCGCAAGUAUUUUUAUUGUAUUAUCAUUGUUUUUGUAUACGUUGUCGCCCGUUAUCGUUUUCACGCGUCAGCCUCCGCUGACCGCCAAUUGCCGUAUUAGCUCGCUAGUGGCAAUUAAGUUAUUUAAAGGCACAAACGAUAACAAAGACUUUGACAACGCCGUCAAGACGAAAACCUUAUAAAAUUCGUGUCAUAAAAACAGUGAAUCUCGUAUACUAAUUGAACAACUCUCUUUAAACUUUAUCGCACUUUUGUGUGUCUCGAAAAUGCAAAAAAAAAAUAUGUAGAAACUUAGCCUUACUCCGAUCUUCAUGUGAAAUUUUCGAUUAAAUUAUGUGAAAACGGAACUGUUA